AUGUGUGACUGGCGGAAAGUGGAGAUUACCACAGGGAGCACAUCGGAUGUUUUGAAAGCCGGCCGCCUGGGCAUAC
rnacentral:ncRNA from 1 species